AACCGCUCGACCGACCGACGGACGCGCGCCUUCGCAAACGCGCGCGCGCCCGCGCUCCCGUCGUUGCCGGGCAGCCCCCCACGCCGUUCUCGCGGCCGGACCUGCAGCGACCCCUACAGGUCGCCGCCGGCUAAGCAAACAUGGCGACCGCGGCCGGGUAGACCUGGCGGCUGCUGUCCGCAGCACUUGUACAAGGCGCCCGCGGCCCCCCCGAGCCGGGGAACACCUGCCGGCCGGGAACCAACCCCGCCGUCGUUUCCCUAGCAGGGCUCUGCUUUGUCUUGCUCAGCUUUCAUCCGCAUUGCUCUGCUCUCCUAUGCUGUGCUAGGCUUCUCUCGGAGACCGUCCCGCUGAUUUUGAUGCCGAGUCGAUCGGUAUAAUUACGAACGCAUAAACCGUCAGACACAGAGCUUGGCCUCCCCGCAGCCCAGCGACUGUUCCCUCAGAACUGGCACGAGGGGGCAGCAGGCAUGCAGAUAUAACCCAGCAUGUAAGUAAAAACAUGAUUCACACAGCUACGGUGGAAGAAAGGCAACAAUAAAGAAAUAAACAGCUAAAGCAAGACAUGGUUCUUGCCCACCGUCACGUUGGACCUGGAGAUGUGAAGGAGGCUGGGGAGAGGGCGAUCAGGGUACAGCCACUGUCCAAGCCUGGCCGCCACCUGCACACAACAUGAGGGCCCUCCGGUCUCCCCCCAACAGGCAUUUGGAACCCAAAGGAGGGCUGGCCGCCAGCUCCUUACGUUCACUUUGCUUCUCUUUGUUUUGCCUUGCUCUGCUUUGCUUUGCUCUUGCUGGCACAGUUUUGCUUUCCCAUACCUCCUUUUCUCUGCUGUUCUUGCCCCUGCUUUGCCUCAGAGUGUUUUGCUCUUUCUCUCCUUGAAAUACUUUGCAUUUCCUUGUGCUACUUUCCUUUGCUCUGCUUUGACUUGCUCUGCUUUGCCUUCGCUGGCCAUGCUUUCGUUUGCUUUAUCAGGCCAUGCUUUCCUUGGUUUAGCUUUGGGUUAUAGACCUGGCAUUGCAUUGCUUUUCCUACCCGUGCUGUGCUUUGCCUUGCCUCAAACUGCUUUGCUUUGCUUUGUUUGCUUUGUCUUCCCUGGUUAUGCUUUGCUUUUCCUGGUGCUACUUUCCUUAGCUCUGCUUUGCCUUCCCUGGCCGUGCUUUUGUUUGCUUUAUGGGGCCAUGUUUUCCUUUUUUACCUUUGCCUUGCUCUCUUUUGCCUCACCUGCUCCUGCUCUCACUUCCAUUUUCAGGCCAUGCUUACCUUUUUUUUGCUUUACUUUGUAUUCCUGGCACUGCUUUGCUGUUCCUUUUGCUACUUUCUUUUGUUCUGCUUUGCCUUGCCUGGCCAUGCUUUCCUUUGCCUUGCUUUGUUUUCCUGGCAUUGCUUUGCUUUUCCUUCUCUGCUCUGCUUAGCUUCUCUUAACCCAGCUCUGAUUUGCCUUACCUCGAACUUUUUCGCUUUUUUUUUUUUUUAUUGCUGUUUUUGUUGUUGUUGUUGUUGUUGUUGUUUUGUUAAUUUUUUAUUUAUUUGUUUAUUUUCACUUCUUUCUCUUUCCUGGCACUGCUUUGCUUUACCUGGUUCUACUUUCCUUUCCCCUGCUUUGCCUUCCCUGGCCUUGCUUUCAUUUGCUGUAUCAGGCCUUUUUUUCAUUUGUUUAGCUUUCCUUUGCUCCGCUUUGCCUUGCUAUGUUUUGCCUUUUCUGGCUAUGUUUUGCUUUUUUUUUUUUUUAAUUGUUCAUUGCAUUCUUUUGUUUUCCUUUUGGACCUUUUUAAUGUGUUUUUAGAGGCCGCGCUUUUCUUUUCCAGGCCAUGCUUGUCAUUGCUUUUCCCUAUGUUGCUAGGUCUUUUCCCUAGCAGGGCUCUGCCUUGUCUUGCUCAGCUUCCAUCCGCAUUGCUCUGCUCUGCUGUGCUGUGCUAGGCUUCUUUCGGAGACUGUCCCACUGAUUUUGCUGCCGAGUCGAUUGGUAAAUUUAUGAACGCAUAAACCGUCAGAAACAGAACUUGGCCUCCCCGCAGUCCAGCCACUGUCCCCUCAGAACUGGCGCGUGUGGGCAGCAGGCCUGGCCAGCCGACAUGGUCCAUUCUGUGUCCCCAGCCAUGCGGCGGGCUGCCAGGUGGGCCCCACUGCUAGUUGUGUGUGUGAGGUUCUCAACAACAAUAAGUAACUACAUGAUUCCCUCAACUACGGUGGAAAAAAUCCACAACAACAACAACAACAAAAUAGAUAGAGAUAUAUAAAACCAGCUAAGGCAAGACAUGGUUCUUGCCCACCGUCACGGUGGACUAGGAGCUGUGAAGAAGGCUGAGGAGUGGGCGAUCAGGGUACAGCCACUGUCCAAGUCUGGCUGCCACCUGCACACAACAUGGAGCCCUCUGGUCUCCCCUCAACAGGCAUUUGGAACCCAAAGGAGGGCUGGCCGCCAGCUCGCUACAUUCGCUUUGCUUCUCUUUGUUUUGCCUUACUCUGCUUUGCUUUGCUCUUCCUGGCAGUUUUGCUUUUCCAUCCCUCCUUUCCUCUGUUGUUUUUGCCCCGGCUUUGCUUUGUUUUGCCUCAGAUUGUUUUGCUGUUUCUUUCCUGGCAAUGCUUUGCAUUUCCUUGUGCUACGUUCCCUUGCUCUGCUUUGACUUGCUCAGCUUUCCCUUCCCUGGCCAUGCUUUCCUUGGUUUAGCUUUGGGUUAUAGACCUGGCACUGCUUUGCUUUUCCUACCCCUGCUGUGCUUUGCCUUGCCUCAAACUGCUUUGCUUUGCUUUGUUUGCUUUGUCUUCACUGGUUAUGCUUUGCUUUUCCUGGUGCUACUUCCCUUUGCUCAGCUUUGCCUUCCCUGGCCGUGCUUUGUUUUGCUUUACGGGGCCAUGCUUUCCUUUUUUUACCUUUGCCUUGCUCUCUUUUGCCUCACCUGCUCCUGCUCUCCUUUCCGUUUUCAGGCCAUGCUUACCUUUGUUUUGCUUUACUUUGUAUUCCUGGCACUGCUUUGCUGUUCCUUUUGCUACUUUCUUUUGUUCUGCUUUGCCUUGCCUGGCCAUGCUUUCCUUUGCCUUGCUUUGUUUUCCUGGCAUUGCUUUGCUUUUCCGUACCUCCUUUCCUCUGCUGUUCUUGCCCCUGCUUUGCUUUGCUUUGCCUCAGACUUCUUUGUUUUUCUUUCCUGGAAGUGAUUUGCUUUUUCUUUUUCUACAUUCCCUUGCUCUGCUUUGACUUGCUCCGCUUUGCUUUCCCUGGCCAUGCUUUCUUUUGCUUUAUCAGGCCAUGCUUUCCUUGGUUUAGCUUUGGUUUAUAGACCUGGUACAGGUCUAUAAACUAGCCUUGCUCUCACCCUCAGCUACAUUUAUAUCCAUUCACCACAAAUCUUUGGACCCAGCCACACAGCCAGUUUUUAACCCAUUGAAACAUAAUUCUUUCCAGGCCGUAAGCAGCCAGAUCCUCUGGAAGAAUGCUGUGGCAAAUCGUUUCAAAAGCCUUAUUGAAGUUUAGGUAGACCACAUCCACAGCCUUUCCCUUGUCCACUGAGCACAUCACCUUCUCAUAGAUUUAGAUCUGAUUUGUCAAGCAGGUCCUGCUUUGAUAAACCCAACUGUGUUUAUCAAAGGGCCUGAUCAGCUGGUUGUCCUGUUGUGUGAUGGUACUCAAGAUAAUCUGCUCCAUGAGUUUCCCUGGCUCAGAGGUCAGACUGACAGGUCUGUAGUUCUCGGAUCAUCCUUCUGUCUCUUCUUGUAGAUAUCCAUCAUAUUUGCUAGUUGACAGUUGACAGGGACCUCCCCUGAUAGCCAGGACUGCUGAAAAAUGAUGGAAAAUGGCUUGGUGAGCACUUCUGCCAGCUCCCUCAGUACCAAUGGGUGGAUCCCAUCUAGCCCCCUAUACGUCUGCAUAUCUGGGUGGAGUAGCAGUUCUCUAACCAUUUCCUCAUGGAUUAUGAGAGCUUCAUUCUGUUCGAGGUCCUUAUCUACCAGCUCAGGGGCAGAAUAUCAGGGUAGCAACUGGUCUUGCUGCAAAACACUGAGGUAAAGAAUGCACUGAGUACCUCAGCCUUUUCAUCAUCUCUUUUAAUUCAAACGAACAAACAAACAAAAACCAUUUUUAUUGUCUUUAACAGUAAUAGACAUAUUGAGCUCCAGCUGGGUUUUGGCCAUUCUAAUUUUUUUUCUUUGCACAGCCUAACAACAUUUAGGACUCCAGAGAAAAUGACAGGGCUUCAGAGAAAAUGAUAGCAUACAUGAGAAGCACAGAAAAAAUGGAACUGGGCAACCUUCCAUCCUCUACCCUUCUGUGAGCCUGGUCUGCAGCUCCAGUCAACUAGUUACUCCUCUACUGUUCACACUCUCCUACAACUGCUGAUACUGUUAUCUUGUGAGAGCACAAUUAGAAUGAGACAUCUCCCUGCAGAUAUUAACAGCUGACAGAAUGUGGCAUCUGUCCAGAGGAACCUUGAGAACUGCAGGAUUUUCCCUAUACAAACUUCUUGACAUUGAGAAGGAGAAGAGCCCAGUCCUGCACUGGAGGAAGAGGAACCCCACACAUCAGGGCAGACUGGGACUGUGCUGAGUGAGCAGUGCCCAGGGCACCACGAGGGAUGCCAGACGAGCAGUAGUGCCUGCUCACCAGGAGCCAGGCCAGCUUCCUACAGAGCUGCCUUAUGAGGAGCAUAGCCACCAAGAAGAUCUGGAUUGUCAGACUCAGCUCACAUCCAGUGUGACACCACAUGGAAAACUGUCUACAGCUAGCCGGUAAAGAGGGAAACACCAGAGUGGGAUGGUCCUGUAGCUCAGAGGAAUAACAAAAGUGACAGAGCUGCACUGCUCAGUCUUCACCAAGGCACGGUCCCUUUGCCUCCUGGCACCCACAGGAUUUCUCUGGGAGUGCACAGACAGCUGUGUUUAACGUCAGCAAAUGCCCAACAUCAGCACUGUGAGUGAGGUCCUCCUGCUGGCAUUCGCAGACAAGUGGGAGCUGCAGCUCCUGCACUUCGUGCUCUUCUUGGACAUCUACCUGGCUGCCCUCCUGGACAACGGACUCAUCCUCACCACCGUAGCCUGCGACCACCGCCUCCACACCCCCAUGUACUUCUUCCUCCUCAAUCUUGCCCUCCUCGACCUGGGCUGCAUCUCCACCACUGUCCCCAGAGCAACAGCCAAUGCCCUCUGGGACACCAGGACCAUCUCCUAUCAAGGAUGUGUUGCACAAGUCCUCUUUUUCGUAUUCUUCAUUGGAGCAGAGUAUUCCCUUCUCACUGUCAUGGCCUACGACUGCUACGUUGCCAUCUGCAAGCCCCUGCACUACGGGAGCCUCCUGGGCAGCGGAGCUUGUGCCCAGAUGGCAGCAGCUGCCUGGGGCAGUGGCUUUCUCAACGCUGUCCUGCACAUGGCGAACACAUUUUCCCUGCCCCUCUGCCAAGACAAUGCUGUGGACCAGUUCUUCUGUGAAAUCCCCCAGAUCCUCAAGCUCUCCUGCUCAAUGCCUACCUGAGGGAAGUUGGGGCACUUGUCUUUACUCUUUCUUUAGUAUUUCUUUGUUUUGUUUACAUUGUGGUGUCCUAUAUGCUGAUCUUUAGAGCGGUGAUGAGGAUGCCCUCUGAGCAGGGCCAGCACAAAGCCUUUUCCACGUGCCUCCCUCACCUGGCUGUGGUCUCUAUGACUGUCAGCACUGGUUUGUUUGCCUGCCUGAACCCUCCCUCCAUUUCUUCCCCAUCCCUAGACCUGGCGGUGGCAUUUUUGUACGUAGUGAUGCCUCUGGCAGUGAAUCCCAUAAUCUACAGCAUGAGGAACCAGGAACUGAAAAAUGCUCUCAGGAAAUUACUUUCAUACAUACUUCUUAAGAAUCAUUAAUAUGCUCACCAGCCUAAAAAUACUGAGCAAAUAUCUCACAAAAUAUUUUCUGAUUUAUUUUUAUUUUAUUUAUUUUUUUUUUUUUAACAUGUGAUAGUAUUAUUUUAAUUUAAGGGAAUUUCUUCUUAUCUUCCUACAUAUUGAUUUUUAUUUUGACCUAGUCAUCUACGGUACUUCAAGAACCAAUCUUCCAGUGUAGAUAAAGAAAAUAAAGAAUCCAUUAGAUAUUCCCAGCUCUCAGAUCCCAUCUCAUUCUCCCAAUGGAGAAGGGGCUCAAGGCCAAAAGCACUGCUGUCACAUUUAGGAAUAGCUCAGCUGGCCAUUGGGGCUGCCCAUCACUACUCAGUGGGGCAAUCUGGAGCUUCACAGACUGGAAUCUGGAGCUGCUCUGUGCCUGGGCCAGGCCUCUUGUGCUGGCCCUGUGGGACACAGAUACUCUGUGCUGGGGAUCUCCCAGGCAAGAGACCAGGGCUCCUGA